rnacentral:rRNA from 1 species
GAUGAACGCUGGCGGCGUGCUUAACACAUGCAAGUCGAACGAAGCAUUUAGAACAGAUUACUUCGGUUUGAAGUUCUUUAUGACUGAGUGGCGGACGGGUGAGUAACGCGUGGGUAACCUGCCUUGUACUGGGGGAUAGCAGCUGGAAACGGCUGGUAAUACCGCAUAAGCGCACAAUGUUGCAUGACAUGGUGUGAAAAACUCCGGUGGUAUAAGAUGGACCCGCGUCUGAUUAGCUAGUUGGUGAGAUAACAGCCCACCAAGGCGACGAUCAGUAGCCGACCUGAGAGGGUGACCGGCCACAUUGGGACUGAGACACGGCCCAGACUCCUACGGGAGGCAGCAGUGGGGAAUAUUGCACAAUGGAGGAAACUCUGAUGCAGCGACGCCGCGUGAGUGAAGAAGUAAUUCGUUAUGUAAAGCGCUAUCAGCAGGGAAGAUAGUGACGGUACCUGACUAAGAAGCUCCGGCUAAAUACGUG